ACCCCGCCUAUGCUGGCCCGCAGGUUUCCCCAGGGCUUGCUGUUGGGUGGGGCCAGUCCCUAGGGCAGGCUGCCUGCCCUGGCUGAGCUGGAUUAAAUCAGUGCUCUGGUGGGUGGGGCACACCCUGUGCUAACAGACCAGGGGAAGAACUCCCAUGGUGUCUGCCAGCAUCUGUGUCAGCGUGCCUGUACUUGGUCACAAUAAUGGCUGCCACCCAUGUCUCAGUCCCUGGAGAGCUCUCACCGAGAUGCACCCAGAGCUUAUCAGGUCCCCAGGAGCCACACUGCAGAGAGCAUGGGAUGGAGCAGCCACAGCAGCCACCUCUCACUAACCACCUGCUACGUGCCAGCCACUCUCUCUCUGACCCCGCUGCAACCCCGUAAUGGUGGUAGUAGUACUUUGCAGCUGAGAAGAGUAAGCUCAGAGAGAUUAAGACACUUGGCAAAGUCCCCUCAGCUGGUUGGUGGUGGAACAGGAUUGAACUUAGAUUGUCCUACGCUGGAGUUGGACCCUUUCCCCUGUACUUCUCCUUACUGACGCGGAAGCAGGCUGCCUCCAUGUAGAGCUCCGCAGAAGCAAAUCCUUUGGAUCUGAAGAAACUGGAGAGGCUCAAAGAAGUGGAGACGGCACUGGGCUGGGCUUCAGAGCUCCGAGUGGCUUGAUUCUGCCUCACUUCCUGUGCGGCGUUAGAGGAUUUUCCCAAUUGUGAAGCAGAGGGGCGGAGCUGUAACAGGGAAGCUUUGGGGCCAGCAGAAAGUGCUCUGGUUCCUCUCUGGCCCUCGGGACCGUGGGGCUGGGAGGCAGGUGGCGCAGCUCCUCUCCAGAUAGAGCACAGCAGCAUCCCUGUAUCCCUCCCUCAGGCAGCCUGCAGCACCUUCUCGCCUUCAUUUUCUGUGCAUGCCCAUCAGUGUAGUAAAU
rnacentral:lncRNA from 1 species